GACGAACGCUGGCGGCGUGCUUAACACAUGCAAGUCGAACGGAAAGGCCCUGCUUUUGUGGGGUGCUCGAGUGGCGAACGGGUGAGUAACACGUGAGUAACCUGCCCUUGACUUUGGGAUAACUUCAGGAAACUGGGGCUAAUACCGGAUAGGAGCUCCUGCUGCAUGGUGGGGGUUGGAAAGUUUCGGCGGUUGGGGAUGGACUCGCGGCUUAUCAGCUUGUUGGUGGGGUAGUGGCUUACCAAGGCUUUGACGGGUAGCCGGCCUGAGAGGGUGACCGGACACAUUGGGACUGAGAUACGGCCCAGGCUCCUACGGGAGGCAGCAGUGGGGAAUAUUGCACAAUGGGCGGAAGCCUGAUGCAGCAACGCCGCGUGCGGGAUGACGGCCUUCGGGUUGUAAACCGCUUUCGCCUGUGACGAAGCGUGAGUGACGGUAAUGGGUAAAGAAGCACCGGCUAACUACGUG
rnacentral:rRNA from 1 species